rnacentral:rRNA from 1 species
CCGGCCCGUAAAGUCACCGUUUAAAGACCCGAGUUCAAUUCGGGGAGUGGCGGUGAUACUUACGGGCUAGGGGCGGGAAAGGUUGGAGGUACUCCCGGAGUAGGGGCGAAAUCCUCAGAUCCCGGGAGGACCACCAGUGGCGAAAGCGUCCGGCUAGAACGCGCCCGACGGUGAGGGGCGAAAGCCGGGGUAGCAAAAGGGAUUAGAUACCCCUGUAGUCCCGGCUGUAAACGAUGCAGGCUAGGUGUCGCGUGGGCUUUGAGCCCACGCGGUGCCGCAGGAAAACUGGUAAGCCCGCCGCCUGGGGAGUACGGCCGCAAGGCUGAAACUUAAAGGAAUUGGCGGGGGAGCACCACAAGGGGUGGAACCUGCGGCUCAAUUGGAGUCAACGCCUGGAAUCUCACCGGGGGAGACCGCAGGAUGACGGCCAGGCUAACGACCUUGCCAGACUCGCGGAGAGGAGGUGCAUGGCCGUCGCCAGCUCGUGUUGUGAAAUGUCCGGUUAAGUCCGGCAACGAGCGAGACCCCCACUUCUAGUUGGUAGCCGUCCCUCCGGGGAUGGCCCACACUAGAAGGACUGCCGGUGUUAAACCGGAGGAAGGAGGGGGCCACGGCAGGUCAGCAUGCCCCGAAACCUCCGGGCCGCACGCGGGUUACAAUGGCAGGGACAGCGGGAUCCUACCCCGAAAGGGGAAGGCAAUCCCACAAACCCUGCCUCAGUUGGGAUCGAGGGCUGAAACUCGCCCUCGUGAACGAGGAAUCCCUAGUAACCGCGGGUCAACAACCCGCGGUGAAUACGUCCCUGCUCCUU